AUGGCCGCCCACAGCCAGGGGCUUGCUCGUCGCCUUGUCCGCGGCAACUGGACGCGCGCCCUCUCCAUGGCAACCGCAGCCAGAGCUUCGCUAGUCGCCAUGACUAACCUGCAAUCAGCCGCGGCGGCGAUGAGUUUGUGCUGGAGCCCAGGGUUGCUGGAACCAGGUUAUUUUUUUUGCUGGAUCCACCCACUUUUUUUGCUACAACCCCUUUCUUUUUUGCUACCAUCCCCAUUCGAUUUGAUGAACUCUUUUCGUUUUUGCUGGAACCGGUGUCCCCAUUUGCGGGAAGCAUUUGGUGGACGUGCUGCAAGGUUGACAGCUCGCCGGAGGAAGCUGCAUCCAGUGGCGAGGAGGGCUGCAUCCAACGUCGUUCAAACGCCGGGAGUUGCAACCAUGUACGCCGGAGCUACAACCAGUGACCGGGGGUGUUGCAAGAGGGAGUGGCCGUUUUUGCUGAUGCAUCUUUUUUUGGUGAACCAAAUUUUUGUUUUUGCUGGAACCGAUGAAUUUCUUUGCUGGAAUAGAUAUAAUUUUUUGCUUCAUCGGCUGCAGAGCUCUCAAAUGUUUCAUGUCAUUUUUGCUGGGACCUAA
rnacentral:rRNA from 1 species